rnacentral:misc_RNA from 1 species
AUUAGCGUAGUCACUGUUAUUAUCUGUCAAUUCAGAUUCUUGCUGGGAAUGAUCGGAAUCCAAAUUCCCAAUUUCAAGAGGGAAAUUGAGUAUGGCCUUGCUUCCACGCAAUCUAAAGGCAGCACUAUCAUAAGCUUUUGCAGCUUCUAUAGCGGUAUUGAAUGUCCCUAGCCACACACGAGCGCCUUUCUUAUUAGGAUCUCGAAUCUCCGCUGC